GACGAACGCUGGCGGCGUGCCUAAUACAUGCAAGUAGAACGCACAGUUUAUACCGUAGCUUGCUACACCAUAAACUGUGAGUUGCGAACGGGUGAGUAACGCGUAGGUAACCUGCCUGGUAGCGGGGGAUAACUAUUGGAAACGAUAGCUAAUACCGCAUAAUAUUGAUUAUUGCAUGAUAAUUGAUUGAAAGAUGCUAUUGCAUCACUACCAGAUGGACCUGCGUUGUAUUAGCUAGUAGGUGAGGUAACGGCUCACCUAGGCGACGAUACAUAGCCGACCUGAGAGGGUGAUCGGCCACACUGGGACUGAGACACGGCCCAGACUCCUACGGGAGGCAGCAGUAGGGAAUCUUCGGCAAUGGACGAAAGUCUAACCGAGCAACGCCGCGUGAGUGAAGAAGGUUUUCGGAUCGUAAAGCUCUGUUGUAAGAGAAGAACGGGUGUGAGAGUGGAAAGUUCACACUGUGACGGUAUCUUACCAGAAAGGGACGGCUAACUACGU
rnacentral:rRNA from 1 species